GUUUACGACUUUUUUACGACAAAAUGUUCUUACUUUUCUCUGUUUACGUCCUAGUCCUGUUCAACACAUAUAUCCCUAAUCUUUGUCGUGGCUCAAUGAUAUUACUUUAUUAAACCUAAAAUGUCUAAACUACAUUCGUUGAAUGCGUUUCUUACUGCCCGAUUAACUGCGGCGGCUGUGGAUAUAUUCGGGGCAGUGGAGAAGACUAUAACAGCGUACCAGGAAGAAGUCUCCAGAUCAAAAGUGGAGAACGACCAUCUACGGAGGCUGUUGCUAGAUUUCGGUUUCAAACCUGACAGAGAAUCACAAAUACCAGACCCCCAGCAGCUCACUGUCUCUGUCUCUGGAGAGGAGGUUCCCUCUAAGCAGGAGUGGAGUGAUCAAGAGGACACAGAGACCAUAUUCAUUCCCCCCUGUGUGGAAAGUGCCAGUGAUCAGGACUCACCCCAGAGCUCAUACCUUUACCAAAUUGGGAAGGACAGCAAGAGGGACUCUCUUCCCACCAACUCAACAGAACCGAUCCAAACCAAUCAUGAUGGAGAGGACUACGGGGCAUCAGAAUCAACCAGUAACUCUCAGAUCAUGUCAAAGUCAAAACAUACACAGGCAAAGAAAGGACAAAGUCCUCUUGACACUGGGAUAACCAGUGAGCUGAGAGCACCAAUGGUGGCUCACACAGGUGAUAGACCAUACAAGUGCCCUGUGUGCAGGAAAAGGUUUACUAAUAACAACCAUUUAAAAACACAUCAGAGAAUUCACACAGGGGAGAGGCCACAUUGGUGCAAAGAAUGUGGUAAGUGCUUCAGCCGCAAGGGGGAUCUGGGCACACACAUGAGGACUCACACAGGAGAGAAACCGUACCAGUGCAGCGUUUGUGGCAAAAGCUUCAGGCGAAACCGACUGAAUGAGCAUAUGAGGGUACACACAGGGGAAAGACCCUAUCGGUGUGCCGACUGUGAGAAGGGCUUUAUUUCAGUAAGUGACCUAAAACGCCACCAGCGCAUUCACACGGGAGAAAAGCCUUUUAGGUGUGACAGUUGCGGAAAAUGCUUCAGUCAGAUGACAACCUUGAAGAAACAUAUGAGGACUGUUCAUAAGAAGGUUCAAUUACAGAGCCGUGAGGAAAGCCCAGAUCCCUGCUAGCAUUAGGGACUCCUGUUCAUUUAUGUGAUAAUGACAAACAGCACAGGACAUAUCUUAUGUUAACCAUGGUACCAUCUGCGUGUGCCUUAGACAAUUUCUCUGACUAUCGCUGUCAUUCAUUCAUGCAAUUGUGUGUGUUGUAAAUCUCUUCUACAGAACAGUUGCUUUCUUUCAGGACACUGGUCUAACACCAAGAUCUACCAGAUGACAAUCAUCAUGUAUUGUUGUUACUUGACAUUAAAGUGGAUAUACUGGGGGCUUUCAAACUCUGUGCCAACAUUGAUAGAAUGAAAUAAUAAGACUUUUUUGGGGGGGUCUUAUUUGUCCUGUUGCACACAAGUGUGUAAUGGAAACGUGUUUGUUGCAUAUCCCAACUGCCCCUAAGACACCCUCAGUGAGUGGGGUCACAGCCAGGGUCACCAUUGUCCAGCUCCCCUGGGGCAAUUGGGUUAAGAACCUUGCUCAAGGGCCCAGCAACAGAUUUCUUUCACCUUGUCGGCUCCAGGAUUCAACCCAGUGACCUUUCAGUUGUUGGCCCAACACUCCGAGGCUACCUGCUGCCCAAGUUUGGAACAGUCACAAAUCCCUCGCUAAAGCAAGUGCAGAAGCCUGCAACUAACUCAUUGCCAUGUGACCAAACUCUUGGGGUUGUUUUUACAGAUGCAGAUAAUGCCUAGUCCUGGGACCAUAACAUACUUUCAACAAUCUCUUCAACAAGAAUGAUUUUGAAUCCAGGACUAGGUUUAACCUGUAUUUGGGAAAGCGGGCCCUGGUAUUUUCUUUUGAGAUGUUUUGCCAGGCCUAAUGUUAGGUUGUUAAUCAGAGCAAUGAACUAAAAGGUGUCCAACACACUGUUUGUCAUAUCCUGUAUGUACCCUGAAUAUACAUACACAAAGACAUCUAUCAAGGCAAAAUAGUUACGUUGUUUUUUAUUAUUGUUAUCUUUAUUAUAAAUGUUCGCUUUUUCAUUUGUUUUUGUAACCCACAUUAUCAUGUAUGAUUUACAUGAUAAAGUAGAUAAUUGCAUUCCAUAAUUUAAUUUUAUAGUCGAACUGAAUGUUCCCCAUUACUUCUGUGUGUGGCUGACUUGUUCAACAGUGUCAUGAGUUCUUCAGCUCAGCUAAAUAUUGUAAACUAAUAUGUAGUUUAUCAAGUUAUGUAGGUAAGAUUUUGUUAAUUCAUUACAGAUUAUAUCCUACAUUAUCUAUUACAGAUGGACUUUGUACUACAUUAUAUUAAUCUAUUCAAAUAUGAAGUGCAUGAGCCUACAACCUCUUGACACAACCAACAAUCUUGGUAUUUUCCUUUGAGUGCCUUUGCUUUUAGUAUGUUUUCAUAAUCAGAGCAAUGAAAAAAGACAUACUGUGUACAACACCUGAUGCAUGCACCUUAAAUAUGCACAAGAGGUCUAUGAACUACUUCCCCGACAAGUCAUUCUAUUGGUCAAUUCAAGUAGCAGUACAAGGCGUGAGAGCAAGUAUCGUUCUCCAUUGGACGAGAGCAAUUUGUUGCUUCAAACCGAUUUCAAACAGCCAACGUGCGCGCCCCUGUCUCUCCAGCUUCCGAGCGCCGCCGUCCACACCGCGCUUUCGUCGAUCCAAAAUUCCGUCUGUCUCACGUGCUUUGUGAAUAUAAAAGCUCUCUUGUUUCCCUUCAUCAUGUGUAGUGUGUCACCAGACAAACGGCGAAAGAUGGAGUCGGCGUUGGAGCAGCUGAAGAAACACACGGUGGUCGUGGCGGAUACCGGAGACUUCAACGCCAUUGAAGAGUACAAGCCCCAGGAUGCCACCACCAACCCUUCCCUCAUCCUGGCUGCUGCCAAGAUGGCCGCUUACCAGCAUCUGGUCGACCAGGCCAUCAAAUACGGCAUCGCCAAGGGCGGACCUGAGGAGGAGCAGGUCACCAACACCAUGGACAAGCUGUUUGUGAGCUUCGGCCUGGAGAUCCUGAAGAAGAUCCCAGGCAGGGUCUCCACGGAGGUAGACGCCAGGCUUUCGUACGAUAAGGAUGAGAUGGUGUCUCGGGCCCUGGGGCUCAUUGCCUUGUACGAAGAGGCUGGUAUCAAGAAGGACCGUGUUCUCAUCAAGCUCUCCUCAACAUGGGAAGGCAUCCAGGCUGGCAGGGAGCUGGAGGAGAAGCACGGGGUCCACUGCAACAUGACCCUGCUGUUCUCCUUCGCCCAGGCAGUGGCCUGCGCCGAGGCCAAAGUCACCCUCAUCUCACCCUUUGUGGGCCGUAUCAUGGACUGGUACAAGGAGAACACUGCCCAGAAGAGCUACGAGGCCCAUGAGGACCCAGGUGUGAUCAGUGUGACCAAGAUCUACAACCACUACAAGAAGUAUGACUAUACCACGGUGGUGAUGGGAGCUUCCUUCAGGAACACCGGGGAGGUCAAGGCCUUGGCCGGCUGUGACCUGCUUACCAUUUCCCCCGGCCUACUGGGAGAGCUGAGCAAAGACCACAGCACAGUCACGCCAAUGCUCACGGUUCAGAAAGGUAACAGGACUCAUUGCUACCCCCUACAGGAUACUAGUAUGACCUCCCUGGAACAGUUGAAUGAACAUGUGUUUUGUUAUCACAUUGUGGUUGUCACAUGUGCUUAAUACUGUUAAAUUCUUAUAAGCAUCUAACCAACAAUGCAGUUAAGAUGAUAUUUACUAGAUAAAAUAAUGAGGCUAUAUAUACAGGGGCUAUCUGUCCUGAGACAAUGCGCGGGGGUACAGGUUAGUCCAUGUAAACAGUCCUGGUGGCCAUUUGAUUGUUCAGCAGUCUUGAGGCUCGGGGUAGAAGCUAUUAAGGAGGAGCUGGACUUGGUGCCCCGGUACAGUAGCAGUGAACAGUCUGACUAGGGUGACUUUGAUUUUGUGGUAUCCAAUUGGUAGUUGGUCUUGUCCCAUCACUGCAACUCCCGUAUGGACUCAAGAGGCGACAGUUGAGAGCCGUGCGUGCUCUGAAACUCGACCCGGCCACGCCACACUGCUUCAUGACACAAUGCCAGCUUAAACCAGAAGCCAGCCGCAGCAAUGUGUCAGAGGAAACACUGUACACCUGGUGACUGUCAGCGUGCAUGCGUCCAGUCUGCCACGAGUUGCUAGAGCAUGAUGGAACAAGGGAAUCUUGACCUGCCUAACCCGGACGACGCUUCCAAUUGAGCGCUGCCUCAUGGGUCUCCAGUCAGGGCUUGGGCUCGAACCCAGGGCUGUAGUGACUCCUCGAGCCCUGUAAUGCAGUGCCUUGGACUGCUGCGCCACUCGGGAGGCCCCCACAAAUAGAUUUUUAACAGACCAUUGGUCCCCCAAAAGGCAGCCCUCAAAUUCAAAAUCCUGACGUGGCCCUCAGGCCUCUGUUCUCCCAUCCCUGGUCUAGGGUUUCUGGGAUGACUGGCCUUUUCAAAGUACUUCAUGGCUACUGAUGUGAGUGCUACUGGGCGGUAGUCAUUUAGGCAUCUUUGCUUUCUUGGGCACAGAUAAUAAUUUUUGUAUAGACGUCAGGCCUGGUUUCAAAUGUUAACUGUUUGCCUGGCUUAAUGAAUUAAUAGAAUAGUGUUAAAUGCAAACUCUGAACAUAGGGUUUUAAGUAUUUGAAGAGUUUCAAAUGGUGUUCCAUCUCAGGUCUGGUCCAUGCAGGUGUCAUAUAACAUUGGUUCAUAUUCUAAUGGAAAACUCACUGCAUCAUAUGGGUUCAGUGAUGCAGUAAAUAUACUAUCAAUGGUGAUUCAUGGUUGUGACAGGGUUACAUGUUAUCUAAGCACAUGGAAGAAGCUCUCGUCCCUUAUACUUCAACUCUAGAUUGUAUCUUCAGGACACAAUUCUGUGAAUGUAAUCUGUUCUCACACUCCGGCUUUGUUUUGAAUGUUAACCUGCUCAAAGCGUCAGACCGGAACAAGGGGCUGAUGGGAGGGAUGUGUGUGUCAUGCUCCAGACUCAAUGUUUCCUCUGUCGUAAACCAUACACAGAAAGCAGGGUAACCAUGUACUGUAUGAAUAAGCAAUAAUUCAAGCCAAAAAUGUUGGUUACUUUUAAAACUUUAAAAAAAAAAACGUUCAAUUAACUUAUUUUAAGAACCAUUUGAAUCCGUUCAAGGAAAGCUGGUGAAUUAGGUCUACUUUGGUGACCCCCUUGAGGUAGAAUCUGAGCCCUGUAAGUUACUGUUACACACUAGCAGGUCAAAGACCCAAGUUUGUUAGACCCCUCCUAAGGAGAACUUGCGGAGGCCCCUUCAACAUUGGUUAUGCAGUCUCUUAUGAGUUGGAAUGUGUCUCAUAACCAUUUUGUUCAGUCUCAAUUUGAACCUCGGGCAACAAUGGCUGUAGUUCAAACCUACAGAGAAACAAAUUCAUUGCUAUGUAUUUAGGAACUCCUGUGUAUUUCAAUGUCUGCUUUAUCUUUGAGGCUUCUUAAAUGGAUGCUUAUGUCUCUUCCCCUGGGCCAGGUCUGCAUUGAAAAAGGGUAUUUAUCCUGCAUCCCAAUGCAGACAUUGCUUCCUUCAUUAAACACCUGAAACCAUUGAGGGGAUAAUGAGGUCCUCUAAGUAAAACCAUAUGCUGUAAGCAUUCUGGUAGAUUGCAGUCAUACUACUAGUCCUUCAAAGGCCUGGGGACGACAAUCCCAUUGGACCAAGGAUGAAUUAAACUAAUGGCAAUUCAUUACAUCUCUCACUUUUGUCCCCUGUUUAGCCAAGGCCUGUGAUUUGGAGAAGGUUCACCUGGAUGAGAAAGAAUUCCGCUGGCAACACAACGAGGACCGCAUGGCCGUGGAGAAGCUCUCUGACGGCAUCCGCAAGUUCGCUGCCGACGCCAUCAAGCUGGAGACCAUGAUCAAGGAGAAGAUGCUGAAUGUGAAGAACGGCCAGUGAAGAGGGACCAGAUGUUCAACCCUCCCAGCAGGAAACGAUGACUGUUGUGCAACAACCACCACUGGGGCCCCAAGGGACCAACUCUCCCACCUCCCCUGACCCCAAAGUGGGACCCCCUCAACACGAAUGACUCACCACUAUAGGCCUGGAUUGACUCUGAUUUACUGUAUUUUUGUCUUUACUCAAUGCAGAGAUUGCUUUCAAUUGUGAAUCCAGCACUGAUGCAAUGCUAUUUGGUUCUUGCAGCACUAGAUUUGGUCAGGAACGAACACACAACGGUCAGGCUCGGUCCAGUCUUUUUACUCAUCAGCCCUUUAGUGAUCUAGAAAAACAACUUCAAACUAAUGAUUAUGAACAUUCCUCAGGAAAAUGAUAUGACAGUUUCACAAAUUAAACUCUUUCCUCAGUGAA